rnacentral:rRNA from 1 species
GGUUAAGCGACUAAGCGUACACGGUGGAUGCCCUGGCAGUCAGAGGCGAUGAAGGACGUGCUAAUCUGCGAAAAGCGUCGGUAAGGUGAUAUGAACCGUUAUAGCCGGCGAUGUCCGAAUGGGGAAACCCAGUGCAAUUCGUUGCACUAUCGUUAACUGAAUACAUAGGUUAACGAGGCGAACCGGGGGAACUGAAACAUCUAAGUACCCCGAGGAAAAGAAAUCAACCGAGAUUCCCCCAGUAGCGGCGAGCGAACGGGGAGCAGCCCAGAGUCUGAAUCAGCUUGUGUGUUAGUGGAACGGUCUGGAAAGUCCGACGGUACAGGGUGAUAGUCCCGUACACCAAAAUGCACAGGCUGUGAACUCGAAGAGUAGGGCGGGACACGUGGUAUCCUGUCUGAAUAUGGGGGGACCAUCCUCCAAGGCUAAAUACUCCUGACUGACCGAUAGUGAACCAGUACCGUGAGGGAAAGGCGAAAAGAACCCCGGCGAGGGGAGUGAAAAAGAACCUGAAACCGUGUACGUACAAGCAGUGGGAGCACCUUCGGGUGUGACUGCGUACCUUUUGUAUAAUGGGUCAGCGACUUAUAUUCUGUAGCAAGGUUAACCGUAUAGGGGAGCCGCAGGGAAACCGAGUCUUAACUGGGCGUUAAGUUGCAGGGUAUAGACCCGAAACCCGGUGAUCUAGCCAUGGGCAGGUUGAAGGUUGGGUAACACUAACUGGAGGACCGAACCGACUAAUGUUGAAAAAUUAGCGGAUGACUUGUGGCUGGGGGUGAAAGGCCAAUCAAACCGGGAGAUAGCUGGUUCUCCCCGAAAGCUAUUUAGGUAGCGCCUCGUGAACUCAUCUUCGGGGGUAGAGCACUGUUUCGGCUAGGGGGUCAUCCCGACUUACCAACCCGAUGCAAACUACGAAUACCGAAGAAUGUUAUCACGGGAGACACACGGCGGGUGCUAACGUCCGUCGUGAAGAGGGAAACAACCCAGACCGCCAGCUAAGGUCCCAAAGUCAUGGUUAAGUGGGAAACGAUGUGGGAAGGCACAGACAGCCAGGAUGUUGGCUUAGAAGCAGCCAUCAUUUAAAGAAAGCGUAAUAGCUCACUGGUCGAGUCGGCCUGCGCGGAAGAUGUAACGGGGCUAAACCAUGCACCGAAGCUGCGGCAGCGACACUAUGUGUUGUUGGGUAGGGGAGCGUUCUGUAAGCCUGCGAAGGUGUGCUGUGAGGCAUGCUGGAGGUAUCAGAAGUGCGAAUGCUGACAUAAGUAACGAUAAAGCGGGUGAAAAGCCCGCUCGCCGGAAGACCAAGGGUUCCUGUCCAACGUUAAUCGGGGCAGGGUGAGUCGACCCCUAAGGCGAGGCCGAAAGGCGUAGUCGAUGGGAAACAGGUUAAUAUUCCUGUACUUGGUGUUACUGCGAAGGGGGGACGGAGAAGGCUAUGUUAGCCGGGCGACGGUUGUCCCGGUUUAAGCAUGUAGGCUGGUUGUCCAGGCAAAUCCGGAUAAUCAAGGCUGAGGUGUGAUGACGAGGCACUACGGUGCUGAAGUAACAAAUGCCCUGCUUCCAGGAAAAGCCUCUAAGCAUCAGGUAACAUCAAAUCGUACCCCAAACCGACACAGGUGGUCAGGUAGAGAAUACCAAGGCGCUUGAGAGAACUCGGGUGAAGGAACUAGGCAAAAUGGUGCCGUAACUUCGGGAGAAGGCACGCUGGUGUGUAGGUGAAGCCCCUGCGGGUGGAGCUGAGACCAGUCGAAGAUACCAGCUGGCUGCAACUGUUUAUUAAAAACACAGCACUGUGCAAACACGAAAGUGGACGUAUACGGUGUGACGCCUGCCCGGUGCCGGAAGGUUAAUUGAUGGGGUUAUCCGUAAGGAGAAGCUCUUGAUCGAAGCCCCGGUAAACGGCGGCCGUAACUAUAACGGUCCUAAGGUAGCGAAAUUCCUUGUCGGGUAAGUUCCGACCUGCACGAAUGGCGUAAUGAUGGCCAGGCUGUCUCCACCCGAGACUCAGUGAAAUUGAACUCGCUGUGAAGAUGCAGUGUACCCGCGGCAAGACGGAAAGACCCCGUGAACCUUUACUAUAGCUUGACACUGAACAUUGAGCCUUGAUGUGUAGGAUAGGUGGGAGGCUUUGAAGCGUGGACGCCAGUCUGCGUGGAGCCAACCUUGAAAUACCACCCUUUAAUGUUUGAUGUUCUAACGUUGGCCCCUGACCGGGGUUGCGGACAGUGUCUGGUGGGUAGUUUGACUGGGGCGGUCUCCUCCCAAAGCGUAACGGAGGAGCACGAAGGUUAGCUAAUCCUGGUCGGACAUCAGGAGGUUAGUGCAAUGGCAUAAGCUAGCUUGACUGCGAGCGUGACGGCGCGAGCAGGUGCGAAAGCAGGUCAUAGUGAUCCGGUGGUUCUGAAUGGAAGGGCCAUCGCUCAACGGAUAAAAGGUACUCCGGGGAUAACAGGCUGAUACCGCCCAAGAGUUCAUAUCGACGGCGGUGUUUGGCACCUCGAUGUCGGCUCAUCACAUCCUGGGGCUGAAGUAGGUCCCAAGGGUAUGGCUGUUCGCCAUUUAAAGUGGUACGCGAGCUGGGUUUAGAACGUCGUGAGACAGUUCGGUCCCUAUCUGCCGUGGGCGCUGGAGAAUUGAGGGGGGCUGCUCCUAGUACGAGAGGACCGGAGUGGACGCAUCACUGGUGUUCGGGUUGUCAUGCCAAUGGCACUGCCCGGUAGCUAAAUGCGGAAGAGAUAAGUGCUGAAAGCAUCUAAGCACGAAACUUGCCCCGAGAUGAGUUCUCCCUGAGACUUUAAGUCUCCUGAAGGAACGUUAAAGACGAUGACGUUGAUAGGCCGGGUGUGUAAGCGCAGCGAUGCGUUGAGCUAACCGGUACUAAUGAACCGUGAGGCUUAACCUU